CCAGGCCUGAGAAGGUGCAGAACUGGGAUGCAUAGCCGCCAUGUAGGAGCCGGGAGAAUGCGGCCCAAGAGGGCUGCCCAACUGGGUCCAGAGCAGCCAAGCUCCUGUCUCCUGCUCCUGUUUGAGUUCCUGAACUAACUUCCUUCCACGAUGGCCUGAUGUGGAAAUCGCCUAUGACUGAAACAUAAUGAAUGUUCCCAAAACAGUUUGGAAGGAAGGAAAGAAGAAAG
rnacentral:sRNA from 1 species